AGAGUUUGAUCCUGGCUCAGAGCGAACGCUGGCGGCGUGGAUCAGGCAUGCAAGUCGGACGAUCCAUUAAAGCAAUUUGAUGGAUAGUGGCAGAAGGGUUAGUAACGCGUGGGUAAUUUACCUUAGAGUUGGGAAUAACCUGCCGAAAGGCGGGCUAAUACCGAAUAACAUUUUUUUUACGCAUGUGAAAAAAAUCAAAGGUGGCCUUUAACAAGCUAUCACUUUAAGAUGAGCCCGCGUCCUAUCAGCUUGUUGGUGAGGUAAAAGCUCACCAAGGCAUUUGACGGGUAGCUGGUCUGAGAGGAUGGUCAGCAACACUGGGACUGAGACACUGCCCAGACUCCUACGGGAGGCUGCAGUCGAGAAUCUUUAUCAAUGCCCGAAAGGGUGAAUAUGCGACGCCGCGUGUAGGAAGAAGGUCUUCGGAUCGUAAACUACUGUCAGGGGUGAGGAAAUCCUGCUGACUAAUAAUCAGUAGGUUUGACGUUAACCCCAGAGGAAGCCACGGCUAACUCUGUGCCAGCAGCCGCGGUAAUACAGAGGUGGCAAGCGUUGCACGGAUUUAUUGGGUGUAAAGGGCAGGUAGGCGGCCAAGUAAGUCUGUUGUGAAAUCCCAGGGCUCAACCCUGGAACUGCAGCGGAAACUACAUGGCUUGAGUAUCGUAGAGGUAAGGGGAAUUCCAGGUGUAGGAGUGAAAUCCGUAGAUAUCUGGAGGAAUACCGAAGGCAAAGGCACCUUACUGGGCGGAUACUGACGCUGAACUGCGAAAGCUAGGGGAGCAAACAGGAUUAGAUACCCUGGUAGUCCUAGCUGUAAACUAUGUGGAUUAGAUACUGGGAGAAUCGAUCCUCCCAGAGUCGAAGCUAACGCGUUAAAUCCACCACCUGGGGAGUACGGUCGCAAGACUGAAACUCAAAGGAAUUGACGGGGACCCGCACAAGCGGUGGAGCAUGUGGUUUAAUUCGAGGCUACGCGAAGAACCUUACCUGGACUUGACAUACUAGCAGUAAUCCCGGAGAAACUCGGGAUGAUCGUAUCCAAUCGAAGGCUAGAACAGGUGCUGCAUGGCUGUCGUCAGCUCGUGCUGUGAAGUGUUGGGUUAAGUCCCGCAACGAGCGCAACCAUCGCCCUUAGUUGCCAACAGGUAAUGCUGGGAACUCUAAGGGGACUGCCGGCGAUGAGCUGAGGAAGGUGGAGAUGACGUCAAGUCAGCAUGGCCCUUACGUCCAGGGCUACACACGUGCUACAAUGGCCGGUACAAAGGGCUGCAAACCCGCGAGGGCAAGCCAAUCCCAAAAAGCCGGCCUCAGUUCGGAUUGUAGGCUGCAACUCGCCUGCAUGAAGCUGGAAUCGCUAGUAAUGGCGUAUCAGACACGACGCCGUGAAUACGUUCCCGGGUCUUGUACACACCGCCCGUCAAGCCACCUGAAUCGGGGGCACCCGAAGUCAUCUGUCUAACCCGCAAGGGAGGAAGAUGCCGAAGGUGAAACCGGUGAGGAGGGCUAAGUCGUAACAAGGUA
rnacentral:rRNA from 1 species